CCUGCCUGAUGCCACCUGCCCUUAGACCUCUUGGUUACAACAAUAAUUGUCCCUGCUUUGUUCAUGUUAGAAGGCACUUUUUUAAAAAAAAAGAUUUAUUUAUUUGAAAGGCAGAGUUUCACAGAGGCAGAGAGAGAGAGAGAGAGAGAGGGAGGGAGGUUUUCCAUCUGUGGGCUCACUCCCCAAAUGGCUGCAACAGCUGGAGCUGGGCCAGUCUAAAGCCAGGAGCCAGGAGCUUCUUUUGGGUCUCCUGCACAAUUUCAGAGGCUCAAGUACUUGGAUCAUAUUCUACUAUUUUCCCAGGCCAUAGCAGAGGGCUGGAUCAGAAGUGGAGCAGCCAGGACUGGAACGGGUGCCCUUAUGGGAUGCUGGCAUUGCAGGUGGGCUAUACUUGCUACGCCACAGUGCCGGCGCUGGAAGUCACUUCUGUUGGGCACCAAAAAAUAUGUUGUGCCCAGCUCGUUAGAUCCCUGCAGAGACCCCCAGAGAGUCGAUCACACCAAACUGCAAAAGCAAGGUUUAUUCUGGAGUACAAGCCGCGACAGGGACCCCAUCCAACCAACCAGCACAGCGGAGGAAGGAGUGAGGCCCUGGUCUUUGUUUGGGAGAGUUUUUAAAGGAAAAAAGGGCUACAUCAGCAGGAAAAAAGAGUUACAUACAGCAUGGAAGCUUUGGGCACAGGGAGUUACAGCGGGAGCUGUGGGCACAGGGAGUUACUUUGUUUAGCAAUCUCUACUGUGCUGUCCUUGGUCUACCGAGCUAGCUGUCCCUGGCCAUGGGCCCAGGAGGAUGGAGACCCAGGCCUGCUCCACUCGCUGCUGGGCCCUGGUGUUUGGAUCCGGUUGGCAGCAGCAGGGCCUCCGUGAGCAAGGGCGGCAGACCACAAAGACCACAUCUCGGGUGGAGGUAAGAGCUGUUCACGCACUGUGGACAGAGCCCCUGCUGUGUGCCGCGCCCUGCCCUGGGCUGCCGGCACAGCGCAGGGUGAGGCCUGAGAACCAGGAGAGCAACCCUGUUGUUCUGUGGAGCUGACGCUCCAGGGGACGCACAGUGGACGGGACAGCGCGACAGAAGAGCUCAGGGCUGCAGAGACAGAGUCGGGCUCAGGGGAUGGGAGUGCAGGGCUGGGGAUGCUGGGGGCAGAGAGGGGCAAGGGUGGGAGAGGAGACACGCCAGGAAACACGGGCCCUGUGGCCACCGUGAGCGGAGACACACCAGGACACGGGCCCUGUGGCCACCCUGAGGACUUUUACUCUGGGUGAGGUCGGAGCCAUGGCAGGUGCCGCUGAGCAGAGCAGGGGCAGGGGCAGGGGAUGGAGUGGGUAAGCAGGAGGGAGAGAUGGGGGUGCGGGAAGCUGUCCCUGUAGUGGCACAGGCAGGGAGGGCGUCCCUGAGGAGGUGGCAUUUGAGCUGAGCCCUUGGUUUGGCCACGUUGCUUGCUGCUGCCCAGGAAGCUUUAGCAUCUGCCCCCAUGCACAUGGAGGGCGCGCCUUGUCUCGGACAGACCCACCGCAGGUCUGAGCCACCUUGUGGCCUCCUGCUCCCUUGUCACCAUCAUAUCCCCACCAGCAGGGGGAAUCAAAUGCAAUCCACAGAGCCCCAACGGCCUCCUGGAUCAGGGUCUGUGGGGGUGGAUCCUGAUCUCCGCAGGGCAGGACCGGACAGCAGGGGGCGCCCUGCCCAGGGCCCUGACGUUAUAGGACGCGGCCCCUCCUGUACCUGCUCGCUCCGCCUCACUGGUCCUUCCUGGAGAAGCACCACGAAGCUCCUGACCCCAGGCCCCUGUCCCUCUGCCCGCCGCCCCGCCCUGAGUGGCCCUGCGCGGGGUGUGGGCCCCUCUUCUCGGGAACCGUGAGUCCCCAGCUCUCUUUUCUCAGCAGUCUUCUCUUGAUCUGUUGGCUUCCGUGAAUUCUCUAUGAAGACACAAAGCCUGACACCGGCUCUGAGGGGCAAGGCAGUGUGGAGGCUCCCACCGGUGAGAGAUGGGGGCGGGGGGAGAGGACCUGUGCACCUGUGUUCCAGCGCCCCGACAAGAUGAACGUUUACGACACGUGCUAGAGCUCCCGCCCCCUGCACGCGACCUGCAGGCUGCGCAGGAUGGGAGCAUCAACGAAGCAGGUGGGCAGCCCGCCCCCCGCCCCGGCCCUGGAGUCCUCGCUAUCAGUCUCUUCAUCGUGGGGUGCUUGGGUCCGGGCUCUUGUCUCGAAUGCAAGACGGAUUGCAGGGAUGGGACACGGGUAAAGGUCAGCGGAGGAGGGAGAUUUGUUUACACGCCAGGUUGGAGCAGCGCCGGCCGGCUCGGAGGAGAGAGCUGCGGGCGGCAGCAGGGGCGGGGCUGUCUCUGCUCUGGAGGUGUGCGUGCGGGGCGUGGCUGGAGAGGGCUCCGUAGCAGGUGCUGCCGACCCUGUAGAGGCCGGCGUGUUGGAGCCACUCGUGCGGAACCUCCCCAGCCGCAGCCCUCUGCUCUCCCAGUCCAUCUCCUCGGGUGGAAUGGUCGCCGUCUUGGUGUCCCCUGCAGUGAGUGACUUGUCUCAGUUAGGCAUCCCCAGUGCAGGGGCCAUUGUCAGCUGACCCUAAGCCUGUUGAAAGGCCCCGUGUUAGUUCCCUGUCUAUUCCAGUGGGUCAGUUUCAGCAGCCUUUAAGACCUCACGCAGGGGUUUGGUUAUCAGCCUGAAUCUCGGCUGUCCCUUUGUAGGUGGUAGCCCAAUACACGGUGUGGCUUCCCAUGGGGAGAUCCCGGUUUUGGUUGGGGAAACGAUAUCGCCAUUCCCCUAAAAGCGUUAAGAUCUGAAUGGUGUUUUCAACUGAGUCCUCCUUGAGGUGACUGUAGGUGAGGCCAUGUCUAUCUACUGUUAAUCCUUCCUGCUGGGUGCUGUGUCGGUACCCAUUAGUAUGCUAAUAACAGAUUUCAGUGUAAGGAUGGCUGCCCUGAGAAAGCGCCCCUAGAGGGUCGCAGACCUGCCAGCACCCGCAGAGGCUGGUGGGAGACGACGGCAUCUUCCAUCUGGCAAGGCAGAGGCCAGGUGACCUGCUGGGAGAGGGGCUUGCCAUCAGGCCCCGUGAUGACACGACUCUGAGGACAGGGGCCCCAGCAGAGGAACUGGCACCCGCGUCAAUUAGAAAAUCGAUUUUCUUACCUGCCACUUCCGGGAGCGGGGUGGUCCCGAGGGCUGCGGGAGCUGCCUGAGUUCCCAGGCCCCAUCAGUCCUUGCAUUAGGACACGAGGCAACCGGGACUCCUCCUGUCCCCCAGGAACUGCGUGUGAGCAGGUUUCCAGCGCCCUCUUGUUUCCAGUGGGGCCAGGGGCCAGGUGGGCUUCUCGGGUGGGGACAGUCCUUGCACCAGUGUCCCGGCCUCCCACACCCAGAACAUUCUCCCUUGGGCUUCUCUGCCCGGUUCCAGUGGCUGCUGCCGUAUGGACAUUGGAGCCCUCUGCACUGCAGCUUUGCCUCUAGUCCUGGUCACCCGCAUGCUGCAUCUAGCAGCUGUUCCUGGGGGUUUGGGACCCCACAGCCCAUCUCUGGAGUUCCCUCCGGAUGUCCCUGGCUGGCUGAGGUAGGCAGUAGGACAUGUGCUAGGGGCUGUGUGAGUGUAUCUGUCGAAUCUCUUUAAGGCCUCUCCCAGCCAUCCCUGGCUGAAGGUGGAUUCUCGUCCCUAUGCUGUGUUACCUCCCUGACUGUCACCCAGGGAACUCAGCAGCACAGCACAGCCGAGCGCCCCCUAGGGGCCGUGGCCUUGCCACCUCUCAGACUCCCGACACACGAGCUAGUCCACAGGACCACCUUGUCCUUCGUGCUGUGGGCCUCAGGGCAGGAUGAGCACAUGUUAGCAGGAGCAAAUGUCCCACGGGCCCUUCUGAAGACAGUACCCAGGUCACGAGAGUGUUGGGAGGUGGCACACAGAGCCCGCAUCUCUGCCCUGCGUAUGGCUCUGAGCCGUAUCCCUUGGGGACCACUGUGACUCCUCUGUUGCUAUUGGCGGUUCCCGUGAUAAUUCUCUGAAGCCACUUUUCCAUUUAUUUUUUUGAAUGAAUUCCAAGUACUCAUUGAGACCUGCUCAGACUGGAGUGAGACAGCCCCUGCUCUCUGCCCGGAGGAUGAAAAACCUCCGUGAUCCGUCUUUGUGGAUCCAUUUGACUGUAAGAUUCGGAAGAAAGGGCCAUUCACUAAGAGCCAUCUCCCCUCCCCCAGAGACCCAGAAGAGGAGAUAGAGAGGAGUGGGGGAGGCGUGGGCAGCCCAGGAAACACUGUCCCCUGCUGGCGGCUUCUCCAGCUGGAGGCAGAGAGGCCCUGUCCUCCUCUCAGCUUGCCCAGUGCCCUCAAAGGCCAGGGUGGAGCUGGUGCCUGUUCACCUGAACGCCUUGUAGAUGAGACCCGGCUGUUACACCCACUCUGUGGUCUGCUGCAUAAAGGCCUCUGGCUUCUGGGGCACACAGCGCGUGGACUUGGUACCUGGCUCCCACCUGCAGCUGUUGGCGUCCACAGCCAGCUGAGCCCCCAUACCGUGGCACUUGGGGUCUCUUGUUCUCCACUGGGAAUGUGCGGGGCAGUGGGUAUGGACUGUCUUAGCUGCCUUGAACUUUGCCUUAUUAGACACUAGAGUCUGCCUCCUGGGCGGGGGGGUGGGGGUGAGGGGGGUGGGUGGAUCUCAGAGCCUCUUCCCGAUGAGCACCGGAUACAUCGUAGACUUGACACGCCCCUCGUCCACCCUCUCUCUGAGAACCACCUUUCUUCUCUUUUUCUACGAGGUCGAUGCUGUUAGAUCCCCCAUAGACAUGAGAUCAGGGAGCACUUGUCCCUCUGUGUUGACGGAUGCACCUAUGUACGACCCAUUCCACAGUGCGUACACGUACCCAGACAUCUCCCUGGACCCCAUACAUGCACGCAGCUAUGAUUUUUAUUCAUGAGGAAUAUUUGCAAAUGUGCAAAGAAAAUAAGCUCGAGGUGGGUGGCAGUAUACAGUUAAGAUUUUUGUUUUUGAGAGCGUUUGCAAAUGUGAAAAGCCAUGGUUCUUGCUGUUUCCCAUAGGGGCCCUCUUCUGGCCAUGGUUCCUCUGUAUCCCAUAGGGACCCCCCCCCCCCGGGCCAUGGCUCUUAUGUAUCCCAUAGGGGCCCUCUCCUGGUCAUGGUUCUUCUGUAUUCCACAUUGACUCUCUGACCAUGGUUCUUGCUAUAUCCCAUAGGGACCCCCUCUGACCAUGGUUCUUGUUGUAUCCCAUAGGGACCCCCUCUGGCCAUAGUUUUUCUGUAUCCCAUAGGGGCCCUUUCCUGGCCAUGGUUCUUGCUGUAUCCCAUUAGGGACCCCCCCUGCCACCCCGGCCCUUGCUGUAUCCUAGAGACCCCUUGUCGGCCCUGGCCCUUGCUAGAAGGAGCGGCCGAAGUCCUAGCCAUCUGGCUGCCCGGCCUGGGUGUAAUUGUGCGCAUGUGCUCUACGGGAGCCUUUGCUUUCCUCUGUGUCGUGAGCACUGCUCCUGGUGCGGAGGACUGAGGGGGCGGCUACAGGGCCUGGCUGGGCUGACCGCGGAGUAGGGGUCCAUGUCUGCAGGCUGAGCAGGUGGCUGUCAGGCACGGGGCACCUCUGCCUGUGCUCUGCCCUGACUCCUGCUCCUCCCCAGGCAGCAGGGCCUGGGAGGGAAACGGGCAGGUGGGAAGACGUAGCGCCACUUGCACUUUGCAACUCAGGGGCAAGGAGGAGCUCCGUGGAGCUUUGGGGCCGCCAGGGAUGGGACUUGCCUGAAGCCUGGGCUUUGCCCUGGUGCUGGGGCCCUUCUGUCGGGAUAUCUCGCGACACAGCACAAGGUGUGUGGCCGUGGCACUGUCGUAUUUAUGCUCUGACAAGGACUCUUGUAUCUGCUCUGGGCUUAUAGCCUAGGCUGAUUCGGACUUGCAUGAUUUGAGGGUCCUGGUGACAAGCCAGCGGCUCAGCACGGGGUCUUGGAGUUUCUUCCAGGACCACGCUGAGCUAUCAGCGGCCCACAGUGCGGUCUAGUUCAGGCCUCUUUCCGGGGUUGAAUGUCAGUAAAGUCUUCCAAAGCUUUUCCAGCCCUAGGCUGACAGCACAGGGAAGCUGGUAUUUUCCUGUGAGUGUGCACUCCAGCUGCUGCACAGGGCCUCUCCAUCAAGUGGCAAGAUCCCCGUAAACACGGCAGCCAGAGUCACCCCCAUACCCCACAAGUCUGCAUUAAAGGGGUUGUAUUGUUGGCCCUAGAGCAUUUCUGGAGCGCAAUACUGGGAGUUCCACAAGAUGUGCUGAGAUCUUGCCCGUCGGAGCCCCUGCAUCCCAGGCUGAAGUCAGUUUAACACUGAGG